GACGAACGCUGGCGGCGUGCUUAACACAUGCAAGUCGAACGGAAAGGCCCCCACUUUUUUGGUGGGGGUGCUCGAGUGGCGAACGGGUGAGUAACACGUGGGUGAUCUGCCCUGUACUUCGGGAUAAGCUUGGGAAACUGGGUCUAAUACCGGAUAGGACCAUGGUUUAGUGUCUCAUGGUGGAAAAAUUAUUGUUUUGGUGCAGGAUGAGCUCGCGGCCUAUCAGCUUGUUGGUGGGGUAAUGGCCUACCAAGGCGUCGACGGGUAGCCGGCCUGAGAGGGUGGACGGCCACAUUGGGACUGAGAUACGGCCCAGACUCCUACGGGAGGCAGCAGUGGGGAAUAUUGCACAAUGGGCGCAAGCCUGAUGCAGCGACGCCGCGUAGGGGAUGACGGCCUUCGGGUUGUAAACUCCUUUCGUUAGGGACGAAGCCGCACCUUUUUUGGGUGUGGUGACGGUACCUUUGUUAAGAAGCACCGGCUAACUACGUG
rnacentral:rRNA from 1 species